GGCACUUCUAACUCUCCUAGUAAAAAGUAUGAAGUAGCUGACGUCGGUAUUGAAGUAAAAGUCACAAAAAACUUUUCUCUUCACAGAUGCAAUAAAUGUGGAAAGGCAUUUGCCAAAAAGACUUACCUUGAACAUCAUAAGAAAACUCAUAAGGCAAAUGCUUCCAAUUCACCUGAAGGAAACAAAACCAAAGGCCGAAGUACAAGAUCUAAGGCUCUUGUCUGCCUCGCGAAGCCGUCGUCCCGCAGCGCCGCCGCCCUGCGCCCGGCCGCCCCGGGAGCCGCUGCCUGCCCGCGGGCGCCGUCACCACGCGUCAGGCCGCUGCCAGCUGCCGCGCCAAGCUCCGCGGCGGCGCCGCCCGAGAGCGCCAGCACGCUGCCCGGGGCCUGGGGAAGCCCGCGGCUCCGUGAGCGCCGCCGCCUGGCCGCCGGCGGGACCUCGCCCUCGCUCCGCACCGCCGUGCCUCAGGCGCCUCGCCGCGGCCGUCUCCACGGGCCGACCAGUCGUCCGCAGACCCCUGAGUCCUCUGCCUCGCCUCAAACCCCCUUUCACCCCUUGCCCUCGCCGUCCCUGGUUUGAGCCAGAACUCUCCCGCGAAGCCCUCUAGAGGACCACGUGCCUUAGGGACAGGCUGGGGGCGGCCUCCGUGCGAGUCCUGGUUGUUCGCAGAGCAGCACGUCCUCUGCCUGCCAAAAUCCCGGCUUCUUUGAGAAUCUUGUCACUGGACAAUACCAUCCUUUUCCUUUCAGCCUGUAAUUUGUAGAUUUCCUAUUCCUAGUGAGUUUUGUCAUGAUUAGUUCUUCAAAGACUAGCUCCUACUUGAACCUUCACCUCAAAUCCUGGCAUCGACAAACUAGUUUCCCCCCGCCCACCUCCCCACCCCCCCGCCACAACCCCAAAUAUUGCCAUCUGCCAGAAGAUUGUUUUAAUAACUGUCCAAAUCCUCAGUGACUGUGGGGUGCUUGACACAACUUGGAGUUGUGUUAUGCACAACUGUGGUUGAACUUGAACUCCAACAUCCAGUCCCCUCCUUCCUGUAACUUCAUCUCCAGUAAUUAUUUCUCCCCUUCAGAAUCAGUCCUUGCUACCACAGUUCUAGACCAUGUCAUCAUUAGAAUCCGCAUCCUCUCUACAGUCUUGUCUGUGGUGACCAUGGCCUCUCAGAUCUCCUGCUCCACGGAGCGGAAGUGACUGACAGGUCCCCCUGCCUUCCCAAGGCAUCCACUGCUGGGUUUGCACUGAAGCCAUGCUUCUCUGGCACUACUCCCAGUCAGUGAGCGGGCACAGCACGGGGUGUUGGUGGUGGCACGUUCAUGGAAGAUGUAGGACUCCUCUGAUGAGCAAGUUUGGCUUGGAAACACCUGAGCCGGCUGGUUGAAACUUUCUGAGAACUAUGCUGCGUGCAGCCUGAGGCUCUUGGGCCCAGUUCCCCUCUCCUUUCACAGGUGUCAGACCUGUAUUAUGAUAUGAAGUCUCCC
rnacentral:sRNA from 1 species